UUGUUAGACCGUGUGAAAGGUAAACA
rnacentral:piRNA from 1 species